GACAGAGGAUGCAAGCGUUAUCCGGAAUGAUUGGGCGUAAAGCGUCUGUAGGUGGCUUUUUAAGUCCGCCGUCAAAUCCCAGGGCUCAACCCUGGACAGGCGGUGGAAACUACCAAGCUGGAGUACGGUAGGGGCAGAGGGAAUUUCCGGUGGAGCGGUGAAAUGCGUAGAGAUUGGAAAAGGACACCAAUGGCGAAAGCACUUUACUGGGCUAUCACUGACACUGAGAGACGAAAGCUAGGGUAGCAAAAUGGG
rnacentral:rRNA from 1 species